CUAGUUCUGACCGUAAACGAUGCCAACUAGCGAUCCGCCGAUGGAGAUUAUAUUGCCUUGGUGGGGAGCUUCCCGGAAACGAAAGUCUUCCGGUUCCGGGGGAAGUAUGGUUGCAAAGCUGAAACUUAAAGGAAUUGACGGAAGGGCACCACCAGGAGUGGAGCCUGCGGCUUAAUUUGACUCAACACGGGGAAACUCACCCGGCCCGGACACUGUGAGGAUUGACAGAUUGAUAGCUUUUUCAUGAUUCAGUGGAUGGUGGUGCAUGGCCGUUCUUAGUUCGUGGAGUGAUUUGUCUGGUUUAUUCCGAUAACGAGCGAGACUCUAACCUACUAAAUAGCUGAUACAUAUUUUUGUGUAUUCGGCUUCUUAGAGGGAUUUGCGGUGUUCAGCCGAAAGAAAUUGAGCAAUAACAGGUCUGUGAUGCCCUUAGAUGUCCGGGGCUGCACGCGCGCUACACUGGCAAAAUCAACGUGCUUGUCCUGCCCCGAAAGGGGUGGGUAAACCAUUGAAAAUUUGCCGUGAUUGGGAUCGGAAAUUGCAAUUAUUUUCCGUGAACGAGGAAUUCCAAGUAAGUGCGAGUCAUCAGCUCGCGUUGAUUACGUC
rnacentral:rRNA from 1 species